rnacentral:rRNA from 1 species
GCUGGGAUGUGAUGGGGAGCGAAAUUUAGUAGCGAAGUAGCUGAUUUCACACUGUCAAGAAAAGUCUCUAUCGAGGUUAAAGGUACCCGUACCGCAAACCGACACAGGUGGGUGAGGAGAGUAUCCUAAGGCCAGCGAGAGAACUGUUGUUAAGGAACUCGGCAAAAUGACCCCGUAACUUAGGGAUAAGGGGUGCCACCAUCCGGUGGCCGCAGAGAAUAGGCCCAAGCGACUGUUUACCAAAAACAUAGGUUUCUGCUAAGUCGCAAGACGAUGUAUAGGAGCUGACGCCUGCCCGGUGCUGGAAGGUUAAGGGGAUCUGUUAGAGCAAUCGAAGCAGUGAACUUAAGCCCCAGUAAACGGCGGCCGUAACUAUAACGGUCCUAAGGUAGCGAAAUUCCUUGUCGGGUAAGUUCCGACCCGCACGAAAGGCGUAACGAUUUGGGCACUGUCUCAACAACAGACUCGGUGAAAUUGUAAUUCCGGUGAAGAUGCCGGAUACCUGCGACAGGACGGAAAGACCCCAUGGAGCUUUACUGUAGCUUGACAUUGGGUCUUGGUACUACAUGUACAGGAUAGGUGGGAGGCUUUGAAACCAGGACGCCAGUUUUGGCGGAGCCAUCCUUGGGAUACCACCCUUGUAGUACUGGGACUCUAACCAUAGGCCAUGAAUCUGGUCUUGGGACACUGUCAGGUGGGCAGUUUGACUGGGGCGGUCGCCUCCCAAAAGGUAACGGAGGCGCUCAAAGGUUCUCUCAGUACGGUCGGAAAUCGUACGUAGAGUGUAAAGGCAAAAGAGAGCUUGAUUGCAAGACAUACAGGUCGAGCAAGGAUGAAAAUCGGACUUAGUGAUCCGGUGGUUCUGCGUGGAAGGGCCAUCGCUCAACGGAUAAAAGCUACCCUGGGGAUAACAGGCUUAUCUCCCCCAAGAGUCCACAUCGACGGGGAGGUUUGGCACCUCGAUGUCGGCUCAUCACAUCCUGGGGCUGUAGUAGGUCCCAAGGGUUGGGCUGUUCGCCCAUUAAAGUGGUACGCGAGCUGGGUUCAGAACGUCGUGAGACAGUUCGGUCCCUAUCCGUCGCAGGCGUAGGAAAUUUGAGAAGACCUGUCCUUAGUACGAGAGGACCGGGAUGGACGUACCUCUGGUGUACCAGUUGUUCUGCCAAGGGCAUGGCUGGGUAGCUAUGUACGGAAUGGAUAAGCGCUGAAAGCAUCUAAGCGCGAAGCCAACUUCAAGAUAAGAUUUCCCACCGCAAGGGUAAGACCCCAGAAAGACUAUCUGGUUGAUAGGUCGAAGGUGUAAGUGCAGCAAUGUAUUUAGCUUAUCGAUACUAAUA